rnacentral:lncRNA from 1 species
UCCUGUGAUUUUUUUUCCUGCUUUAUUGCAUAAGAAAAAGAAGAAAAGAAGGCAGCCAGCCUCCUUGUCCUCAGGGAGCACUUCCUCCCCUCUGCAAUGGGAAUGGUUUUUGGACUGGAAUUGCUGCUAUUUGCAAACUCGUUCAGCCCCUGACUUUUCUCGUUGGGUGAGUGCGGCUCUCCCGCACGGAGCAGCGCACACCUGCUGUCUGCCAGCGCUGAGUGACGGCUGCUGAUGGAAUCUAUGUGGGAAAGCCCUUCGCCAUCAAAAGGCUCUGGCUGUGUGGACGGAUGCAGAGUACUGCCCGUUGCCUCUGACCUAGCCAGGCUCGAGCCAGCUCCAGUCUGGGAGUGCACUGCAGUGCGUGCUGGCUGGCCACUGACCCCGAGCUGUCCCGGCCUGGCUGGAACUGCAUCCCCACGUGCCGGGGAGAGCUGCCCUCCAGAAGGCGUCUCUGCUGCUGCUGUGAGAAUGCAAUCCCGGCAAGAGGGGCCCAGCUAAACACAGCACCCUUCAGAUUUGGCCACUCAGUUUUUUCCAUUAGCUUGAUACAUGCUGUUUACAUCCUACUGCCGCCGGUGCCAGAGAUAACUGCCUUGGGAACAGCUCCCUGCAGGUAUUGUUAGCAGCUGCUGGAAACAAAGGCGUUUGUUUUAGCCACGUCACUAUCUAAACAGCCAGAAAUAGAUUGCUUUUUUUAUUGCUAGUAUGCCAAUAAGAAUCUGGUCAAUAAGAAUCUGCCUUCUGGAAAUCUUGCGUGCUGUGAGGGCUGGCAUCUGUGCAAACAGCCCAGCAACAGCAAAGAGCGUGAUGCUGAGGCAAAGAAUGCAUGAAGGGCUCUCGUGGCAACCAAGCAUUUCUCCUCCACGUGUCAUCACCACCAACAUCCGCUGCUUGCACUUGGACAGAAUUGCUUCCAGCCAACACUAUGUGGUUCCUUGCCGCAUAGUUGACUUCUGUCUCUUUCCAGGCUGAAAACUGAGACUGCAGAACACGCGCCGUCUUAGCUAGAAACUUAACUCUGAUUUUAAAACAAAUCAAAAAAUCCAUCCAGCUGCUGAUGCCCUUCCUUUCUGCCCUGAGUCACAGGGAGUGUGGAGGCCGUGCUAUUACACUGAUUCCAGAGGUGGUGAUCAGGUUUGUAGCUGUUGAGCAAGUGCUUGGUUGGUGGCCUAGCCUGGAGGGAAGGGAGAGAGUGGGGCAUUGCAGAGAACACUUGCCCCAUCUGAAGCAGGGAUGCUGGACAGGCUGCCUUUGAACAGUGAUGUGUCUCUUGCUUUUGAUCGUGUCUGAACAAUAGCCCCUUCUUUUCCCUUAUUUCUUCGGGAGGAUGGAGGAUGAGAGACUGAUGCCUCCUCUUGGGCCACGCAGAGGAGAGAGAUGAACUCUACC